rnacentral:misc_RNA from 1 species
GAACUCAGGUCAGAAAGCAGG